GUGAUAUUGAAGAGUCACAUUGCAUGUGUCAGGUCCUGGACUAUAACACAGAAGAAGUCGAUUCUCAUAAAAUCAAAGGCUGUCUGAAGGCAGGUGUGGACCUUCUUCCUCUGCUGUGUGAUCUGCUUGUCUCCACUGAAUGUGGAACAAUAGUGAGAUGUGUGCAGUAGCCCAGAAGAUUGUGUUCAACAGUGUCUUGUCUCGAGGAGAGAUUUCUCAUUCUUGUCAUAUCUGGCGAAAGAGAAGACAGAGGAGAUCUUUUAUGAAAUGCUCUCUUCUCUACCUAUAUGCUACCAUACCUGAUUUGACAGAUGCAUUGAAAACACUCGCUGACAGGAUGCUACCAUUUCAUACGCCAGUUCUUCCCGAUUUUUGGUAGGGAGAUGAGUGUGACUACACCACUUGAAUACAUCAUCCUCCUUAAGUUUGGAUCACAUUUUGCUUCAGGUUAUUUCCACUUCAAUUACAUCUUCCCCAUUACCCAUCCUGCCUUCACUACUGUGGUCAACAGUAAGAUGGAAUGAAGUAAUUAUUUGUGUUGAGAUCAGAGUUUCCCUGGGACUGCACUCCAGUGCACUUGCAUGAAGGACAACCUGUUAACACCGAAAUGAUAUGGUUGUGGACAGAUUUAUGGAAGAGGAAUAGAUUUAUGCAGGUAAUUCAGUCCUGACCUCUUGAGUUCUCAUUACUUUUCAUCCACCCAGCACUACUGCCCACCUCUUUCCUUUUUAAAUGAGACCCAGUAACUAAUAGUGAAAUUAUGGCAAUCUGCUAUAUGAAAUUUGUGAUUAUUUGCAUUUAAUUAAAGGCUUCUCCUGAGAAAAUGAAGAACAGCUUACCCUCAAAGAAGCCUCUUCAUCUCCAGUAAUUGCUUCUAAUUGAAGUCUUUAGAGUUUCCACCCCACCACAGGAAAAAAAAAAAAGUUUACUCCCACACACAGGUCCCUGAAAAUUAUUUUAUCCUUAUGUAAUUAAGGUGACCAAGGAUGCUCAUAAAAGAUUCUUCAGUGUGACUAAAAUUAAAGUUUAAUUAGUCAA